rnacentral:rRNA from 1 species
UACGGAGGGUGCAAGCGUUAUCCGGAAUCACUGGGUUUAAAGGGUGCGUAGGCGGUCUAGUAAGUCAGUUGUGAAAUCGCUGGGCUCAACCCAUGCAAUUGCGAUUGAUACUGCUAGACUUGAAUGGGGUUGAGGCUGGCGGAAUGCGACAUGUAGCGGUGAAAUGCUUAGAUAUGUCGCAGAACACCGAUUGCGAAGGCAGCCAGCUGGGCCUUUAUUGACGCUGAGGCACGAAAGCGUGGGGAGCAAACAGG